UUGACCUCGAAUCAGGUAGGACUACCCGCUGAACUUAAGCAUAUCAAUAAGCGGAGGAAAAGAAACCAACAGGGAUUGCCCCAGUAACGGCGAGUGAAGCGGCAACAGCUCAAAUUUGAAAUCUGGUCCCCAGGGCCCGAGUUGUAAUUUGCAGAGGAUGCUUUUGGUGAGGUGCCUUCCGAGUUCCCUGGAACGGGACGCCAUAGAGGGUGAGAGCCCCGUCUGGUUGGAUACCGAGCCUCUGUAAAGCUCCUUCGACGAGUCGAGUAGUUUGGGAAUGCUGCUCUAAAUGGGAGGUAUAUGUCUUCUAAAGCUAAAUAUUGGCCAGAGACCGAUAGCGCACAAGUAGAGUGAUCGAAAGAUGAAAAGCACUUUGAAAAGAGGGUUAAAUAGUACGUGAAAUUGUUGAAAGGGAAGCACUUAUGACCAGACUUGGCCCCGGUGAAUCAUCCAGCGGUUCCCGCUGGUGCACUUUGCCGGGGUUCAGGCCAGCAUCAGUUCGCUCCGGGGGAUAAAGGCUUUGGGAAUGUGGCUCCCUCGGGAGUGUUAUAGCCCAUUGCGUAA
rnacentral:rRNA from 1 species